AGGGCGCACGGUGGAUGCCUUGGCACUAGAAGCCGAUGAAGGACGUUACUAACGACGAUAUGCUUUGGGUAGCUGUAAGUAAGCGUUGAUCCAGAGAUUUCCGAAUGGGGGAACCCAGCAUGAGUUAUGUCAUGUUAUCGACAUGUGAAUUCAUAGCAUGUCAGAAGGCAGACCCGGAGAACUGAAACAUCUUAGUACCCGGAGGAAGAGAAAGAAAAAUCGAUUCCCUGAGUAGCGGCGAGCGAAACGGGAAGAGCCCAAACCAACAAGCUUGCUUGUUGGGGUUGUAGGACACUCUAUACGGAGUUACAAAAGAACAUGUUAGACGAAUCAUCUGGAAAGAUGAAUCAAAGAAGGUAAUAAUCCUGUAGUCGAAAACAUAUUCUCUCUUGAGUGGAUCCUGAGUACGACGGAGCACGUGAAAUUCCGUCGGAAUCUGGGAGGACCAUCUCCUAAGGCUAAAUACUCUCUAGUGACCGAUAGUGAACCAGUACCGUGAGGGAAAGGUGAAAAGUACCCCGGAAGGGGAGUGAAAGAGAACUUGAAACCGUGUGCUUACAAGUAGUCAGAGCCCGUUAAUGGGUGAUGGCGUGCCUUUUGUAGAAUGAACCGGCGAGUUACGAUCUGAUGCAAGGUUAAGCAGCAAAUGUGGAGCCGCAGCGAAAGCGAGUCUGAAUAGGGCGUUGAGUAUUUGGUCGUAGACCCGAAACCAGGUGAUCUACCCUUGGUCAGGUUGAAGUUCAGGUAACACUGAAUGGAGGACCGAACCGACUUACGUUGAAAAGUGAGCGGAUGAACUGAGGGUAGCGGAGAAAUUCCAAUCGAACUUGGAGAUAGCUGGUUCUCUCCGAAAUAGCUUUAGGGCUAGCCUCAAGUGAUGAUUAUUGGAGGUAGAGCACUGUUUGGACGAGGGGCCCCUCUCGGGUUACCGAAUUCAGACAAACUCCGAAUGCCAAUUAAUUUAACUUGGGAGUCAGAACAUGGGUGAUAAGGUCCGUGUUCGAAAGGGAAACAGCCCAGACCACCAGCUAAGGUCCCAAAAUAUAUGUUAAGUGGAAAAGGAUGUGGCGUUGCCCAGACAACUAGGAUGUUGGCUUAGAAGCAGCCAUCAUUUAAAGAGUGCGUAAUAGCUCACUAGUCGAGUGACACUGCGCCGAAAAUGUACCGGGGCUAAACAUAUUACCGAAGCUGUGGAUUGUCCUUUGGACAAUGGUAGGAGAGCGUUCUAAGGGCGUCGAAGCAUGAUCGCAAGGACAUGUGGAGCGCUUAGAAGUGAGAAUGCCGGUGUGAGUAGCGAAAGACGGGUGAGAAUCCCGUCCACCGAUUGACUAAGGUUUCCAGAGGAAGGCUCGUCCGCUCUGGGUUAGUCGGGUCCUAAGCUGAGGCCGACAGGCGUAGGCGAUGGAUAACAGGUUGAUAUUCCUGUACCACCUAGUAUCGUUUUAAUCGAUGGGGGGACGCAGUAGGAUAGGCGAAGCGUGCUGUUGGAGUGCACGUCCAAGCAGUAAGGCUGAGUGUUAGGCAAAUCCGGCACUCAUAAGGCUGAGCUGUGAUGGGGAGAGGAAAUUGUUUCCUCGAGUCGUUGAUUUCACACUGCCGAGAAAAGCCUCUAGAUAGAUAACAGGUGCCCGUACCGCAAACCGACACAGGUAGUCAAGAUGAGAAUUCUAAGGUGAGCGAGCGAACUCUCGUUAAGGAACUCGGCAAAAUGACCCCGUAACUUCGGGAGAAGGGGUGCUCUUUAGGGUUCACGCCCAGAAGAGCCGCAGUGAAUAGGCCCAAGCGACUGUUUAUCAAAAACACAGGUCUCUGCUAAACCGUAAGGUGAUGUAUAGGGGCUGACGCCUGCCCGGUGCUGGAAGGUUAAGAGGAGUGGUUAGCUUCUGCGAAGCUACGAAUCGAAGCCCCAGUAAACGGCGGCCGUAACUAUAACGGUCCUAAGGUAGCGAAAUUCCUUGUCGGGUAAGUUCCGACCCGCACGAAAGGCGUAACGAUUUGGGCACUGUCUCAACGAGAGACUCGGUGAAAUCAUAGUACCUGUGAAGAUGCAGGUUACCCGCGACAGGACGGAAAGACCCCGUGGAGCUUUACUGUAGCCUGAUAUUGAAAUUCGGCACAGCUUGUACAGGAUAGGUAGGAGCCUUUGAAACGUGAGCGCUAGCUUACGUGGAGGCGUUGGUGGGAUACUACCCUAGCUGUGUUGGCUUUCUAACCCGCACCACUUAUCGUGGUGGGAGACAGUGUCAGGCGGGCAGUUUGACUGGGGCGGUCGCCUCCUAAAAGGUAACGGAGGCGCUCAAAGGUUCCCUCAGAAUGGUUGGAAAUCAUUCAUAGAGUGUAAAGGCAUAAGGGAGCUUGACUGCGAGACCUACAAGUCGAGCAGGGUCGAAAGACGGACUUAGUGAUCCGGUGGUUCCGCAUGGAAAGAUCGGAAGAGCGG
rnacentral:rRNA from 1 species